AUUGAACGCUGGCGGCAGGCCUAACACAUGCAAGUCGAACGAGUGGCGGACGGGUGAGUAAUGUAUGGGAAACUGCCUGAUGGACGGGGCUAACUGCUGGAAACGGUAGCUAAUACCGCAUACCAUCGGAUGUGCCCAGAGGGGAUUAGCUAGUAGGUGGGGUAAAGGCUCACCAGGGCGACGAUCCUUAGCUGGUCUGAGAGGAGGACCAGCCACACUGGAACUGAGACACGGUCCAGACUCCUACGGGAGGCAGCAGUGGGGAAUAUUGCACAAUGGGCGCAAGCCUGAUGCAGCCAUGCCGCGUGUAUGAAGAAGGCCUUCGGGUUGUAAAGUACUUUCAGCGGGGAGGCGUUACCCGCAGAAGAAGCACCGGCUAACUCCGUGCCAGCAGCCGCGGUAAUUC
rnacentral:rRNA from 1 species